rnacentral:rRNA from 1 species
UGCCCACUGAUUUAAUUAAUUAAAGGGCUGCAGUAAUUUGACUGUACAAAGGUAGCAUAAUCAUUAGUCAUUUAAUUGAUGACUUGUAUGAAAGAUUGGAUGAAAUAUAAUCUGUCUUUUAUUUAUAUUUAGAAUUUAAUUUUUUAAUUAAAAAGUUAAAAUAAUUUAAAAAGACGAGAAGACCCUAUAGAGUUUUAUAUAUAAAUUAAUUAAAAUUAUUAAUAAAUUAUAUAAAUUAAAAUUAAUUUAUUUAUUUUGUUGGGGUGAUAGAAAAAUAUAUAAAACUUUUUUUUUAAAAAAUACAUAUAUAAAUGAAUAUUUGAUCCUUUAUUAUUGAUUAAAAGAAAAAAUUACCUUAGGGAUAACAGCGUAAUUUUUUUUUUUAGUUCAUAUAAAAAAAAGAGUUUGCGACCUCGAUGUUGGAUUAAGAUAAAAUUUAAAUGCAGAAGUUUAAAGUUUUUGA